UACAGAGGUCCCGAGCGUUGUUCGGAUUCACUGGGCGUAAAGGGUGCGUAGGUGGCUUGGAAAGUUUGAUGUGAAAGCUCAGGGCUUAACCCUGAAAUGGCAUUGAAUACUGCCGGGCUGGAGGUUUGGAGGGGGGACUGGAAUUCUUGGUGUAGCAGUGAAAUGCGUAGAUAUCAAGAGGAACACCAGUGGCGAAGGCGAGUCCCUGGACAACACCUUACACUGAGGCACGAAAGCUAGGGGAGCAAACAGG
rnacentral:rRNA from 1 species